UGUCCUAUGGUGUAAUGGUUAGCACAACAGUUUUUGGUACUGUUUGUCUGAGUUCGAAUCUUAGUGGGACAA
rnacentral:tRNA from 1 species